UUCAUCAACAUGGAACUGCUUACUUUCCACUCCUUUUAUACCCAGCACAUGGCACCUCCAUCCCCACCCAACAUACACACACACACUUCACUGCCAACCAACCACUAUACCCAGCCUAAAACACACAUACUCACUCCACUGCCAUCACUGUUCAAUUUCGAAUAUUUUUGGAAACGAAUAUAUAGCGUUUUGGAAAAGAGCUUUUUAAAUUUUAAUGAUCUUCUUUGGCUUAAUUUUUCCAGAUUCCUGCUUGCCCAGUAACUCUGAUUGACUUCUCUUCAGCAAAGUCAAAAAAACGAAAGCUUGAGUGUUCCAUUGAUGGCUGCACAAGUACACAAAAGUUAUGGAUGCAAACAUGAAGCACAAGCCAGAGGAGCAUAUGAGAAGCUUAUGAGCCAGGAGCAUGCAGGCUUCUCAUGUAUGGACAGCGGUCUCUGGCUGAACCCCAAGUGGCCAUACAUGGGGUCCUCCCCUGAUGGGAUAGUCACUUGUGACUGUCAUGGAACUGGCAUCUGCGAGAUUAAGUGCCCACACUCUCAGAAAGAUGCGGUCAACCUGCGCAUGCGUGCUGGGGAGAAGGGCUUCUGCCUCAUCAGUGACGGGGAUAAUGUCACACUGGACCCAACUCAUGACUACUAUUACCAAA